rnacentral:sRNA from 1 species
CUCCUGCAGGCUCGUGGCGGUCGGUCAGCGGGGCGUUCUCCCGCGUGUCGCGACUCAGAGCCUCCAAGCUCAUGGCCUCCUUAGGAGCGAACCCAAGGAGAACACCGCAGGGACUGGGACCUGGGGCGGCCUCCUCUGGCUUCCCCAGCCCGGCCCCAGUGCCUGGCCCCAGGGAGGCCGAGGAGGAGGAAGUCGAGGAGGAGGAGGAGCUGGCCGAGAUCCAUCUGUGUGUGCUGUGGAAUUCAGGAUACUUGGGCAUUGCCUACUAUGAUACUAGUGACUCCACUAUCCACUUCAUGCCAGAUGCCCCAGACCACGAGAGCCUCAAGCUUCUCCAGAGAGUUCUGGAUGAGAUCAAUCCCCAGUCUGUUGUUACGAGUGCCAAACAGGAUGAGAAUAUGACUCGAUUUCUGGGAAAGCUUGCCUCCCAGGAGCACAGAGAGCCUAAAAGACCUGAAAUCAUAUUUUUGCCAAGUGUGGAUUUUGGUAUCUCCUUCCUUUUGCUUUGCCCAACUCCCUGUUCCGGUGUCCCAUUCUUUCCCCCUAACUCUACCUUCAUCAUCACAGAUCUCCCCUCUGCCUUAUGUCAUCCUAAACCUUUGUGCUCCUCAUGCCCUAUGACCCAUCCCCCCAAGAUCUCUCCUGCUCCCUACCCUUUAAUAACCUGCAGGUUAUUGGGAAGCCUCUGCUUGAGUCAUGUCUAGGGAUGAGGGCCUCCCCUGAGGAGUGGUGACGUUUUUGGACAGGUUUUAUUGUUGGAUUUCUCCCCAUUAAGUUAAAGCCUUUUGUCACAAA